rnacentral:rRNA from 1 species
AGAGAGAGACAUGCGCGCAUAUCAAUAAGCGGAGGAAAAGAAACUAACUAGGAUUCCCUCAGUAACGGCGAGUGAAGCGGGAAGAGCUCAAAUUUGAAAUCUUCAAGGUUCUACCUUGACGAAUUGUAGUUUAAAGAAGUGUUUUCUGUUGGAGUUUUGGUAAAAGUCCUUUGGAAUAGGACAUCAUAGAGGGUGAGAAUCCCGUAUUUGACCAUUAUUUCCAGCUUUGUGAUGCACUUUCAAAGAGUCGGAUUGUUUGGGAAUGCAGUCCAAAAUGGGUGGUAAAUUUCAUCUAAAGCUAAAUAUUGGCGAGAGACCGAUAGCGAACAAGUACCGUGAGGGAAAGAUGAAAAGAACUUUGAAAAGAGAGUUAAACAGUACGUGAAAUUGUCAAAAGGGAAGCGUUUGACACCAGUGUUGUUUUCUCGAAAAUCAAUUAAAAAGAGUUAGAUUUUGUUGUGUAUUGACCUUAUCAGCUUCUGCAUUUCAUUUUCUUGUCUUUUUUUAAUGCACUUUUCGUUUAACAAGUCAACAUCAAUUUCUUUUGUUGUAAAAGGGUCAUUGGAAGGUGGCUUUCUUUUCGGAGAAAGUGUUUAUAGCCUUUGGCCUCUGCAAUCGGAGAGAUUGAGGUCUGCAGCGUAGAUCCUUCGGGGUUAGAUACAUUUGUGCUAAGUUAUAGCCUUUCAUAGACAACUUGUUGACUAUGAUCAGUCAUGUAGCUUACUCGCUUAUGCUAUUUUACCUACGCUUAGGAUGUUGAUGUGAUACUGCGAGCA